GUGCUUGCUUCAGCAGCACAUAUACUAAAAUUGGAAUGAUACAGACAAGAUUACCAUGGCUCCUGUACUAGGAUGACAUGCAAAUUCGUGAAACAUCCCAUAUUUUU
ensembl:snRNA U6 U6 spliceosomal RNA